rnacentral:rRNA from 1 species
UACGAAGGGGGCAAGCGUUGUUCGGAAUUACUGGGCGUAAAGGGCGCGUAGGCGGCCUGUUGCGUCGGGUGUGAAAGCCCCGGGCUCAACCUGGGAGGUGCACUCGAGACGGGCGGGCUGGAAUCCGGAAGAGGAUGGUGGAAUUCCCAGUGUAGAGGUGAAAUUCGUAGAUAUUGGGAAGAACACCGGUGGCGAAGGCGGCCAUCUGGUCCGGUAUUGACGCUGAGGCGCGAAAGCGUGGGGAGCAAACAGG